rnacentral:lncRNA from 1 species
UUCGGUCGAGACUUACAUACAUAGGGCCUUGAAGGCCAAAGCACCAAACUAGACCAAUAGCGGAAUUAUUGGUCGAAAGCGUGAACCCAUGCCAUCAGCCUUAACCUACAGGCAUUCUGACUGGGAAGCAUCCUAGCUCGCAAGAACGUCACCGAGUUAAUCUUCACCGUAUACUGCCUUUCACACCUGGUCAAUGAAAUAACC